rnacentral:rRNA from 1 species
AUUGAACGCUGGCGGCAUGCUUUACACAUGCAAGUCGAACGGCAGCACGGGCUUCGGUCUGGUGGCGAGUGGCGAACGGGUGAGUAAUACAUCGGAACGUACCCAGUAAUGGGGGAUAACUAUCCGAAAGGAUAGCUAAUACCGCAUACGCCCUACGGGGGAAAGAGGGGGAUCGCAAAACCUCUUGUUAUUGGAGCGGCCGAUGGCUGAUUAGCUAGUUGGUGAGGUAAAGGCUCACCAAGGCGACGAUCAGUAGCGGGUCUUAGAGGACGAUCCGCCACACUGGAACUGAGACACGGUCCAGACUCCUACGGGAGGCAGCAGUGGGGAAUCUUGGACAAUGGGCGCAAGCCUGAUCCAGCAAUGCCGCGUGCGUGAAGAAGGCCUUCGGGUUGUAAAGCGCUUUUGUCAGGGAGCAAAAGGUGGUGGCUAAUAUCCAUCGCUCUUGAGAGUACCUGAAGAAUAAGGACCGGCUAACUACGUGCCAGCAGCCGCGGUAA